AAGUCGUAACAAGGUUUCCGUAGGUGAACCUGCGGAAGGAUCAUUACCGAGUUCUAGUCCUUUUUUGGGCUGUCUCUCCACACCAUGCGUAUGCAUAUCAUUACGUUAUACACAAAGGCUCAUGUGUCUAAACAACCGAAUCAAACUAAAGCAAAAACUUUCAACAACGGAUCUCUUGGUUCUG
rnacentral:misc_RNA from 1 species